rnacentral:rRNA from 1 species
GACCUUACCUGGUCUUGACAUCCCGGAGACCCUUAGGAAACUAGGGGGUGCUUCCAUCUGGAAGAAUCUGGAGACAGGUGCUGCAUGGCUGUCGUCAGCUCGUGUCGUGAGAUGUUGGGUUAAGUCCCGCAACGAGCGCAACCCUUGCCUUUAGUUGCCAGCAGUUCGGCUGGGCACUCUAAAGGGACUGCCGGUGUUAAACCGGAGGAAGGUGGGGAUGACGUCAAGUCCUCAUGGCCUUUAUGACCAGGGCUACACACGUACUACAAUGGCCGAUACAAAGGGCAGCGACACUGCGAGGUGAAGCCAAUCCCGUAAAAUCGGUCUCAGUCCGGAUUGGAGUCUGCAACUCGACUCCAUGAAGUUGGAAUCGCUAGUAAUCGUGGAUCAGCAUGCCACGGUGAAUACGUUCCCGGGCCUU